GCCAACCGACGAGAGCAUACAGGUCGCAGUGGUGGGUGGUAUAAGGGGCUUUGGUUACAAAGCGGAUGGCACUGUGAUCGACUGCAUCCAGUUUGCUGAUUAGGUGACACAACAUAGAAUGCCUUGUGGAGAUUGAGCAAUGGAGAGUUGGCCCGCAUCAGCCCAAAGGUUGUGGUGCAGUGGGUGGGCACCAAUAAUCAUGGUCACACUGCAGAGCAGAUCUGUGGAGGCAUCAUGGCCAUAGUCCAACUCAUCAAAGACAAGCUGACUUGCACAGGACGCACUGAUAAAUAUCUCUGACACUGAUUCUGUAGCCGCUGUUGUUGUGACCCUACAAGCCUCCCGGGCUGGUGUUUACUCAACACUCGUUGCUGUGGGAUUAAUAUAUAAGUCCCUUCUCAGAGAAGCUUGUUAGACAUUCCUCUUGGAUUCUGUUCUGGAGAUGUUCUCUGUGAAUUCUUGUAAUAAACUGAAAUGAUUUAGAUUAAUAUGAUUGACUGCUCUCCCUUUUGUUCACCUCGAAAAUCCCCUUUACAACCAUUAACCUUUUUGAUAACACAAACUUAAAUUAUGAACUGCAUACUUUAUGGACUCAAUUAUCAUUGCUAACCAUAUUGUCACGUUUGUCCUUUCUAGCAUGGGAAUCUAGUGAUUACAAUGCACAGGAGGUUGGUGGGACCUUAAUUUGGGAGCAUGAGCUUGUGGUAAUGGCUGGAGCUGAAUCAGUGGAAUACUAUCACACACAUGGUUUCCAGGUGUUUGAUGCCAUUCCAUUUGCUCCAUUACAGACAUUAUUAUGAGCUCUUCUCCCCUCAGCAGCCUCCUGUGCUUUCAUGCAUGUCUCCAACCACAGGGAGUGCUGCCCAGGGGUUAGAUGCCCAACGGGAGAGGAAAGAUAGGUCAUCAAGCUGGUCCAGGAGUCUGUGUCCUCUCUCCCCCACACCUCCCUCCUCAACGUAGACCCUGGCUUUGUGCACUUGGACGGCAGCAUCACCCACCAGGACCUGUAUGACUACAUCUCACCCCCCAGGGCUACCAGGCUGUAUGCCAGCCGCUACAUGCCCACCUCAAGGGCCUGCUGGAGAAACAGGCUGAAAACUGAAGGCCAAAGACCAACUGAUGACCGAAUGACCCACUCACUACAUCAGAGGUAAAAACCCUGGUCCUGGAGAGCCACAAGAGUACAGGCUUUUAGCACAUUCACUACACUUUUUAGUAUUUUAGUACAGAUUUCUUUUCUAACCCAUGAUUCAAAUAAUGAACUAGUUCUUGAUUAGUUGAAUCACGUUGAAUGUUUUGAAUGCUGGGCUGGAAGAAAAGCCUGCACUAAAAAGGCUUUCUAGAACCAGGGUUAGUAACCACUGCACUACUCCAUUCUAUUGGACCAUAAUGUAUGGGGCGGCAGGUACCCUAGUGGUUAGAGCGUUGGACUAGUAACCGAAAGGUUGCUGGAUCAAAUCACUGAGCUGACAAGAUAAAAAUCUAUUGUUCUAACCCUGAACAAGGCAGUUAAUCCACUGUUCCUAGGCCAUCAUUGUAAAUAAUAAUUUCUUUACUGACUUGCCUUGUUAAGAGUAGAGGACCGCUAAGAGUAGAGGACCGCUAAGAGUAGAGGACCGCUAAGAGUAGAGGACCGCUAAGAGUAGAGGACCGCUAAGAGUAGAGGACCGCUAAGAGUAGAGGACCGCUAAGAGUAGAGGACCGCUAAGAGUAGAGGACCGCUAAGAGUAGAGGACCGCUAAGAGUAGAGGACCGCUAAGAGUAGAGGACCGCUAAGAGUAGAGGACCGCUAAGAGUAGAGGACCGCUAAGAGUAGAGGACCGCUAAGAGUAGAGGACCGCUAAGAGUAGAGGACCUAGUCAAUGCAUUCAACCCGAAAUGUGUCUUCCACAUUUAACCUAACCACUCAGAAUCAGGACAAGAGAGGAAAUUGACCUUCCAAGACUAUAACUGCUGCUGUUAUUCUAAAAUGGCAGAUGUAAUGUAUUGGUGAGGCAAACAGCAGGAUACACUCCAAAGACAUCCAUCGCCCAUCUCCCUGGGUGUCCAUGCCAGGAGUGGGUGUGGCGGCGGGGUUGGAGUCUUCUGAGCUCAUCACUUUGUCUGUCUAGUGUCAGAAAGAAUCAAAGUGAAAAUUAUGUCUCGGUAGAUUAGAGCUGAUGGAUUGAUGCUUAUUGUAUGUGAAUCAAUAAAGCAACUAACUAUGGGUAGCUACAGUAGAAUACCGCAAAACAAUUCCAAGUGAAAUGUGUAACCCUAUUCACAAAUGGGCGUACACUGGCAUUAUGGGACCUAAAUAAUAUAUAACGAUGGCAGAAACAAAUACUUUAGCACAAAUAACCAAAACACGAGCUAGCUAGCUAGCUGACCAUUUCUGGUGCUACGGGUGGGUGUUAUGUUGACCAGUGAGCUGAGAUAAGGCGGAGCUUUACCUAGCAAAGACUUAUAGAUGACCUGGAGCCAGUGGGUCUGGCGACGAUUAUGUAGCGAGGGCCAACUGACGAGAGCAUACAGGUUGCAGUGGUAGGUGGUAUAAGGGGAUUUGGUUACAAAGCGGAUGGUACUGUGAUAGACUGCAUCCAGUUUGCUGAGUAGGUGACGCAACAUAGAAUGCCUUGUGGAGAUUGAGCAAUGGAGAGUUGGCCCACAUCAGCCCAAAGGUUGUGGUGCUGUGGGUGGGCACCAAUAAUCAUGGUCACACUGCAGAGCAGAUCUGUGGAGGCAUCAUGGCCAUAGUCCAACUCAUCAA